GCAUCAUUACUCUAAAAACUACAUCACUACAUUUACAAGAUAAUCUCUUGUAAUUGUCUGUGACUUCUUAUUUAUCUCUCCUGCAUGGCUGUCUGGUUAUAACUCUGUUUACUGGCUCAGAAACCGUUUACAUUAAAAAAAGACACUUUGUCUUU